GUGGGGAAUUUUGGACAAUGGGGGCAACCCUGAUCCAGCCAUGCCGCGUGCGGGAAGAAGGCCUUCGGGUUGUAAACCGCUUUUGUCAGGGAAGAAAUCCUUUGGGUUAAUACCUCGGAGGGAUGACGGUACCUGAAGAAUAAGCACCGGCUAACUACGUGCCAGCAGCCGCGGUAAUACGUAGGGUGCGAGCGUUAAUCGGAAUUACUGGGCGUAAAGCGUGCGCAGGCGGUUUUGUAAGAUCGAUGUGAAAUCCCCGGGCUCAACCUGGGAACUGCAUUGGUGACUGCAAGGCUGGAGUGCGGCAGAGGGGGAUGGAAUUCCGCGUGUAGCAGUGAAAUGCGUAGAUAUGCGGAGGAACACCGAUGGCGAAGGCAAUCCCCUGGGCCUACACUGACGCUCAUGCACGAAAGCGUGGGGAGCAAACAGGAUUAGAUACCCUAGUAGUCC
rnacentral:rRNA from 1 species